UAGCCGUAAACGAUGCGGACUGGGUGUUGGGAUGGCUUUGAGCUGUUCCGGUGCCGAAGGGAAGCUGUUAAGUCCGCCGCCUGGGAAGUACGGUCGCAAGACUGAAACUUAAAGGAAUUGGCGGGGGGAGCACCACAACGCGUGGAGCCUGCGGUUUAAUUGGAUUCAACGCCGGAGAUCUCACCAGGGGCGACAGCAGUAUGAUGGCCAGGUUGAUGGCCUUGCUUGACAAGCUGAGAGGAGGUGCAUGGCGUCAGUGACU
rnacentral:rRNA from 1 species